GGACCCGUGGCGCAAUGGUAGCGCGUCUGAUUCCAGUCACUUGGAGCAUCCAGAAGGUUAGGCGUUCAAAUCGCCUCGGGUUCA